CCGAUGUAGCUCAGCUGGCUAGAGCAGCUGAUUUGUAAUCAGCAGGUCGUGGGUUCGAGUCCCUCCAUCGGC
rnacentral:tRNA from 1 species